ACAACAAAACUAUCCACUUUUAUUUAAUAUUUGUUGGUACCAGACCGUGGACCAGACCAAUAACGGUCGGGCCCGGCAACGCGAAAGGCCGUGGACCAUGGGCUCGACUACGUGAAAGGCCUGGGCCAAGGAAGGACCAGAGAAGCAAGAAGGGAUAAUAAAACCCUAUAAAUACCCCCUGGUUCAAGAGAGGAGAGAGGUUGAAGACUGGGAGAGUGAACUUGUGAGUGAAGGUUGUGACCUACAUGCUGAAGGUAUUCACUAUAGAUCGAGAUGCUUUACUCAAUCUAUCAUGGUUGAUCUCAUGAUUCUGAUCCACUACGAGUAGACGAUCUAUAGCUAGUAUUCAUGUUUUCUUUUAAUUUUGCUGAUCAAUGAUGCAGAGGAAGAUGUGGAAAGUAUUAUUAAUAAUUAUUUAUAAUGGGCACGUUUUCCAUGCGGUUCGUCCAUCAUGCGGAUGACUACGGACGGAUGGGUUCAUGAUUGCGGAGGAACGGGUGUGAUGGGUACACGAUUGCGGUUCCUGUUCCGGGAUUCCGGAUUCCGGUUGCAAUCGCGAUUCCAGUUCCAGGAACUGGCGUGGUUCCAAGUCCGCAAUUCCAAUUCCUCCGAUUUCAGGAAUUAGCCCAGUUCCUCCGAUUCGUCGGUGUUGUUCUGGCACGAUUAAUUCUAGUUCUUUCAAUUCGUCGGUGUUGUUUUGGCGCGAUUCCAGUUCCUCCGAUUCAUCGAUGUUGUUCUGGCGCGAUUCCAGUUCCUCUGAUUCGUCGGUGUUGUUCUGGCGCGAUUCCAGUUCCUCCGAUUCGUCGGUGUUAUUUUGGCACGAUUCCAGUUCCUUCGAUUCGUCGGCAGGAAGAAGAUUUAUAAAUAUACCCUUGAAAGAAGUUAAAAAAUAGCCAGACCGGACAUCGACGAAUAAGAUGACAUGUAUUUAUAAUAUCCGACGAACAAUAGCCAACCGCAUCUGAAGCUGGUUGUAUUUAUAAUAACAUUUAGAUCCUUGAUAUUUCUUUAUUGUUGUGAGAUUGUGAAGAUGACGGAAGAGAAUGAAGAAGAAAGUAUUGGUAUAAGAACCGUGUUGGUCACGGAUGUCUUCUUUUCUUCAUAUAGUAUUUACAAAAUGUAACUGUUGCCGAACGUGGAAAGUUAAUCAAAACCAACUUUAAAUAAUUACCGUUACAAACUUUAAAUAAUAAAAACGUUACUUUUUUAAAUAAUAAAAACGUUACUUUCUUAAUGU
rnacentral:lncRNA from 1 species